rnacentral:sRNA from 1 species
CACCCAUUGGUGAAAAUUUUCCGACGAAAGGAUUGGGAUAGUAGAUUAUAUCGAAAUUUCAAUAGGAGAUAAGAAA